ACGAGCGGCGAACGGGUGAGUAACACGUGGGUGAUCUGCCCUGUACUUCGGGAUAAGCCUGGGAAACUGGGUCUAAUACCGGAUAUGACCUUACAUCGCAUGGUGUUUGGUGGAAAGAUUUAUCGGUACAGGAUGGGCCCGCGGCCUAUCAGCUUGUUGGUGGGGUAAUGGCCUACCAAGGCGACGACGGGUAGCCGGCCUGAGAGGGCGACCGGCCACACUGGGACUGAGACACGGCCCAGACUCCUACGGGAGGCAGCAGUGGGGAAUAUUGCACAAUGGGCGAAAGCCUGAUGCAGCGACGCCGCGUGAGGGAUGACGGCCUUCGGGUUGUAAACCUCUUUCGACAGGGACGAAGCGCAAGUGACGGUACCUGUAGAAGAAGCACCGGCCAACUACGUGCCAGCAGCCGCGGUAAUACGUAGGGUGCGAGCGUUGUCCGGAAUUACUGGGCGUAAAGAGCUUGUAGGCGGUUUGUCGCGUCGUCCGUGAAAACUUGGGGCUCAACCCCAAGC
rnacentral:rRNA from 1 species